rnacentral:rRNA from 1 species
CUACUGGAAACGGUAGCUAAUACCGCAUGAUGUCGCAAGACCAAAGUGGGGGACCUUCGGGCCUCACGCCAUCGGAUGUGCCCAGAUGGGAUUAGCUAGUAGGUGAGGUAAUGGCUCACCUAGGCGACGAUCCCUAGCUGGUCUGAGAGGAUGACCAGCCACACUGGAACUGAGACACGGUCCAGACUCCUACGGGAGGCAGCAGUGGGGAAUAUUGCACAAUGGGCGCAAGCCUGAUGCAGCCAUGCCGCGUGUGUGAAGAAGGCCUUAGGGUUGUAAAGCACUUUCAGCGAGGAGGAAGGCGUUGUAGUUAAUAGCUGCAACGAUUGACGUUACUCGCAGAAGAAGCACCGGCUAACU